GUUGGUUAGACAGUCGCUGUUGAUCGUUUCAAUAGAGGAAAGUCCGGGCUCCAUAGAGUAAAGUGCCAGGUAACACCUGGGCAGUGUGAACUGACGGAAAGUGCAACAGAAAGUAAACCGCCUCACAACGAGGUAAGGGUGAAAGGGUGUGGUAAGAGCGCACCGCAAAUGCGGUAACGUAUUUGGCAAGGUAAACCCCACUUGGAGCAAAACCAAAUAGGCACCAGGGCGUUGGCCACAUAUGACUCGUAUGUUGGUGCGGGUGGGUUGCUAGAGGCUUGAGGUGACUCAAGUCCCAGAUAGAUGACUGUCCUUGACAGAACCCGGCUUAUCGACCAAC
rnacentral:RNase_P_RNA from 1 species